GGAUAUGUAGUUUCCGGCGCCUGCCCUCCGGGGGGUCCUGUGCUGCCCACUUCACAGUGACUUGUCUCCGCCUGGUGAACUCGCGGUGUUCUGCUAAUCUUGCGGAGCCUCAAUGUGAGAUGCAGAGACUGCCCAUCAAACCACAGCCAUAUUCAUCAAGCUUUGAGCCGAUCCGGUGAAGAGAAAUGAGCACUGCAUACAUUAUUCAGAGAAAGGGACCAAAUAAAGCUUUUAAUAGGAAAUGAAAA
rnacentral:lncRNA from 1 species